AGGAGCUAUUGUUCUUUUGUAUCUCCGCUGUUAGUGCGUAGUGGAUACUCAGAUUAGUGUAGGUUGAGUUUACGCUCGUGCUGAGGGGCGGAGCUGGUUUUACAGUAGCGUUUGGACUGUUUCGUACUGUCGGGUGCCGUCGGGGCAGAUAUGGACUCAGAUGUUUGCAUCUUGUUUCAGAUGGUGCCGAGGGCACGUGAGCAUUGGUUGUUGG
rnacentral:lncRNA from 1 species